UACGUAGGUGGCAAGCGUUAUCCGGAUUUAUUGGGCGUAAAGGGUGCGCAGGCGGUCUGUUAAGUUUGAGGUGAAAGCGUUGGGCUCAACCCAAUCAAGCCUUGAAUACUGGCAGACUUGAGUGCAGAAGAGGGUAUUGGAAUUCCAUGUGUAGCGGUAAAAUGCAUAGAUAUAUGGAGGAACACCGGUGGCGAAGGCGGAUACCUGGUCUGUUACUGACGCUCAGGCACGAAAGCGUGGGGAGCAAAUA
rnacentral:rRNA from 1 species